CACUAAAUACCUAAAAUAAGUUUUGGUCUUUUAAACCAUAAAUAGUAUCUAUAAUACUUUUAGUGA
rnacentral:tRNA from 1 species